rnacentral:rRNA from 1 species
GACGAACGCUGGCGGCGUGCCUAAUACAUGCAAGUCGAACGGUCUUUUCUAUGGAAGCUUGCUUCCACUGAGAAGAUAGUGGCGAACGGGUGAGUAACACGUGGGUAACCUGCCCAUAAGAGGGGGAUAACAUCCGGAAACGGGUGCUAAUACCGCAUAGGUUUCUUGGUCGCAUGAUCGAGAAAGGAAAGACGGCCUUUGUGCUGUCGCUUAUGGAUGGACCCGCGGCGUAUUAGUUAGUUGGUGAGGUAACGGCUCACCAAGACGAUGAUACGUAGCCGACCUGAGAGGGUGAUCGGCCACAUUGGGACUGAGACACGGCCCAAACUCCUACGGGAGGCAGCAGUAGGGUAUCUUCCGCAAUGGACGAAAGUCUGACGGAGCAACGCCGCGUGAGUGAAGAAGGUUUUCGGAUCGUAAAACUCUGUUGUCAGAGAAGAACAAGUCGGAGAGUAACUGCUCCGGCCUUGACGGUAUCUGACCAGAAAGCCACGGCUAACUACGUGCCAGCCGCCGCGGUAACAC